GAUCAGUGUGGUGUAGUGGUUUGAAUGCUGGACUACAACUCUGGGAACUAGGGUUCAAAUCCCUGCUUGACCA